AUUGAACGCUGGCGGCAUGCUUUACACAUGCAAGUCGAACGGCAGCACGGACUUCGGUCUGGUGGCGAGUGGCGAACGGGUGAGUAAUACAUCGGAACGUACCCAGUAAUGGGGGAUAACUAUCCGAAAGGAUAGCUAAUACCGCGUACGCCCUACGGGGGAAAGAGGGGGAUCGCAAGACCUCUUGUUAUUGGAGCGGCCGAUGGCUGAUUAGCUAGUUGGUGAGGUAAAGGCUCACCAAGGCGACGAUCAGUAGCGGGUCUUAGAGGACGAUCCGCCACACUGGAACUGAGACACGGUCCAGACUCCUACGGGAGGCAGCAGUGGGGAAUCUUGGACAAUGGGCGCAAGCCUGAUCCGGCAAUGCCGCGUGCGUGAAGAAGGCCUUCGGGUUGUAAAGCGCUUUUGUCAGGGAGCAAAUCCUUGUGGCUAAUACCCACCGGGGAUGAGAGUACCUGAAGAAUAAGGACCGGCUAACUACGUGCCAGCCGCCGCAGUAA
rnacentral:rRNA from 1 species